UAUAGCAGGGUCCACGGGAACCAGCUUUCUUCUGGGUGAUGGGUGGCAGCGCAGCUCUUUCUUCUCGAUAGAAAAGGUGCAGAAGCUGAUUUGCAGCUCGGCCUGGAUUCGGAAUUCUGAAUUUUGUUUUUUGAAUUUCCUCCUUCUCCUCCUCCUCGACGCAGCCUUCGAUUUGCUCCUUCUCAUCAUUGAUCGGAAGAGGCUGAGCCCCUCUCCCAAGUUACUUUAUAGGAAAGCUGGCAAUUGUAGGACCCUGAAGCACCGCUCCCCGCUCCCAGGAGAGCCAGUGGGGGAUGGAGCUGAGGAAGAUGCACAUAAAGUGGGGGCCACCGGGCUAGAGCAAGCUGCGAAACCGAGAGCCGAGGCGCUGUUUGUCAGCCUCCAGGCAUGGUUGUGUGAUGAUGCUUCCCGGCCCCUUCCUCCCAUUCCCAGUCUACAUAUAAGUGUGUGUGUGUGUGUGUGUGUGUGUGUGUGUGUGUGUGCGCGCGCGCGCAUUUAUAAAAUAUUUAUUUAUAAAAUAGAAUGAUAACCCCAAAUCUGCAGGGGCACAAGGGGUGGGGAGAAGAUAGAUUUCUCUGUCAGGGCCACCUUGUGGAUCGGCUAAGAGCAGACCCCGCUCUGGCCCAUCCCCCACUCUGCCCUUUCCUAAGAGACUGGAAUCCAGAGGGCCCAGUGAGGUGGAGCCAAAUCCUUCCAGUCUACCUCCUGGAACAGUUGAAUUCCCUGCCCAAAUGGCCCCACGCUUACUUCUAGGUCACAGGCAGUCAUCAUCACUGGGCUCUUCUUCCUGAGGUGCCCAGGCUGCCAAGUUUCAAUGUGAAACUCCAACGAGUCAAGGAUUCUAAAUUGAGAAUUGACCUUCCCCAUCAAUAUGAAAUCUAUGCAGGAUGGAGUAUACUCUACUUAAGAAUUUGUUUGCUUGGUUUAUUACUUUUAAAUACACCUAUACUAGGAUGUGGGCCUCUGUCUGUAACAUUGUUCUAUGAAUUAAUGUUAAUUUUUAAAGUAUAAAAUGUUAUUAUUACAUUUUUUAAAAAGUUUAUCUUUUAGGGAUACAUAUUAAAGCAUUCACAGAUGAAAUGAACUUGUAUCAAAAAAACUGGGGUAGAAAUGGGAGGGAUUAUAUGGACAAAACAAGAUUAGCUACAAAUUGAAAUGAUUGAAUAAGGUUACAGGGACUAUCAUUGUGCUUUUGAAUAUGUUUGAAAUCUUCCAGAAUAAAAAGCCUCAAAAAGAUCUAUCUUUUAAAAAAAAAUCUUCAUUUUAAAAAAUGGAUUAUUUUUUUAAAGAGCAGUUUGAGGUUCAUAGCAAAACUGAGAGGAAAGCAUUGAGAUUUCCCAUAUACCCCUUCCCCUGCAUGCCUACCCUCCCCACCAUCAACAUUUCCCACCAGAGGGGUGCAUUUGUUUUAAGUCCAUAGUUUACAUCAAGGUUCACUUUUGAUGUUGAACAUUAUUUGGGUUUAAACAAAUCUACAAUGAUGUGUAUUCUACAAAUUUUGAUAAGUUAUAUUUUCAUGUAGCUCAAAAUAUAUUUUAAUUUCUCUAGAGAUUUCUUCUUUGACCUAUAGGUUACUUAGAGGUGUUUUGUUUAAUCUCCCAAUAUUUUGUAAUCUUUCAGCUGUCUUUCUGGUAUUGAUUUUCAGUUUAAUUUCAUUGUGGUCUGAAAGCACACAUUGCAUGAUUUCUAUCCUUUUAAAUUUAUGAAGGUGUAUUUUUAUGGCCCAGAAUAUGAUCUAUCUUGGUGAAUGUUCCAAGUAAACGUGAGACAAAUGUGUAUUUUGCUGUUGUUGGAUGAAGUAAUUUAUAGACGUCCAUUAUAUCAUCCACUAUAUCUGGGUGACAGAUGGUGGUGUUCAGUUCAACUUUGUGCUUAUUGAUUUUAUGCCUCCUGGAUCUGUCCAUUUCCGAAGGAGGGGUGUUGAAGUCUCCAACUAUAAUAGUAAGUUCGUGUAUUUUUCCUUGCAGUUACAUUGGGUUUUGUCUUAUGUACUUUGAUACUUAGUUGUUAGAUGCCAACAUAUUAGGAUGGCUAUAUCUUCUUGGAAAACCAACCCCUCUAUCAUUAUGUAACGUCCUGCUCUAUCCCUGAUAACUUUCUUUGCUCUGAAGUUGGCUCUGUCUGGAAGCUACUCCAGCAUUCUUUUAAAUGAUAUGAAGGUGGUAUAUCUUUCCCUAUCUAUUUACUUUCAAUCAUAUGUCUACAAAGUGGGAUUCUUACAGAUAACUUAUAGCUAGGUCUAGUUUUUCGAGCCACUCUGACAAUCUUUGUAUUUUAAUUGGUAAACUUAGACUAUUGACAUUCAAAGUGAUUACAGAUAUGAUUGGAUUAAUAGCUACCAUAUUUGUUACUGUUUUCUUUUUGUUGUCUUUGUUCCUAUUCUUUUUCUUCCACUUUUUUUCUGCCUUUGGAAUUUCUUUAAGAAUAUAUUUUUAGUUCAAGAUGGACACAAUUCCUUUAUUUUACACAUUUAUUUUUAUGUGGUACUGAGGAUCAAACCCAGUACCUCACAUGUGCUAGGCAAGCGCUUUACCACUGAGCCAACAUCCCAGCCCCUGCCUUUGGGAUUUUAAUGGUACAUUUUAUAUGAUUCCAUUUCUCCCCUCUUUUAGCAUAUCAGUUGUGUCCCCCCCCCCCACUUUUUUUAGUAGUUGCUCUAGAACUUGCAGUAUGCAUUUACAACUACUCCACAUCCACUUUCAAAUAACUCUAUACUCUUUGAGUUGUGUGAGUACCUUAUAACAACAGAAUAAUCCUGAUUCCUCUCUCUGUCCUUUAUAUGGUUACUGGCAUUUCACUUACACAUGAGUGUGUAUGUAUGUGUGUGCAUCAACGUUUACAUCUAUAUCUGCAUAGCAUACAUAAUUGAGUACAUUGUUGGUCUUGUUUUGAAUACACUAUUAAUGUUAGAUCAAGUAAGAAUACAAAAUAAGUUAUUUUGAUCUCACUUAUUUCUCCUCUGAUGUUCUUACUUUCUUUUUUAUAUUUAUUUUAAUUAUCUGUACCUCAAUUUUUCAUUCAUUCUUUUUUAGGUAUACAUGACAGUAGAGUGUAUUUUGACAUAUUAUACAUACAUGGAAUAUAACUUAUUCUAAUUAGGAUCCCAUUCUUGUGGUUGUACAUGGUGUGGAGUUUCACUGGUUGUGUAUUCAUAUAUGAACAUAGGAGAGUUAUGUCCAGAUCAUUCUGUUGUCUUUCCUAUUCCCAUCCCCCUCCCUUCACUUCAUUCCCCUUUGUCUAAUACAAAGUACUUCUAUUUCCCCGCCCCACCCCUAUUGUGGGUUAGCAUUCACAUAUCAGAGAGAACAUUCAGCCUCUCUUUUCUUAGGAUUGGCUUAUUUCACUUAGCAUGCGAGUCUCCAGAUCCAUCCAUUUACUAGCAAAUAUCAUAAUUUCAUCCUUUUUUAUAUAGAUUUAAUUUCUGAACUAUGUCAUUUUCCUUUUCUCUGAAAAGCUGCUUCUUCUUCUAUUUUUUUAAGAGGUACAUUUAUUUGUUUUAGGGUAGCAAUUUUUUUAAAUAGUUAUUGCAGCACCAGUUUUGUUUUUUUUUUUUUUUUUGUGAACACAAUCCCUUUAUUUUAUUUAUUUAUUUUUGUGUGGUGCUAAGGAUCAAACCCAGGGCCUCAGUCGUGCUAGGCAAGCGCUCUACUGCUGAACCACAACCUCAGCCCUGAAAAGCUUCUUUUAACAUUGUUUUUUGCGAGGCACAUCUACUGGUGACAAAUCCCCUCAAUUUUUGUCUGAUAAAGUCUUUAUUUCCACUUCUCUAUUGAAGGAUGACUUCUCGGGGCAUGGCAUUCCUUUUUGGUGGUCUCUUUGAAUUUCCACAUCUCUGCCUUCACUGCCCAUCUGUUGGUUGUUUUUAAUCCCACCACUCUUGCCAUAUCUGGGUCUUGUCAUGAUGCUUGUUCUGUUGUUUUCUAACUAUGCUUUUGUGGGUGUGGUUUGUUUUUACAUUGGUUUGUUUGUUUGCUUGCUUUUUCUUUUUGUUUUCAUCUUUCAGGUGUUUUAUAAUGUUUUAUUGAUGGACAGAUGUGACAUACUGGGUACAAAGAACUGCUGCAAUGGGCCCUUGCUGAUGUGGUGGUGAGGUGCGAUGGGAGGAAACACAAGCAUAGGGAGUUUUUCUCUGCUAUUCACUAUGAGGACCUCAUUGAACUCCUGGAAAUAAGAUUCACAAAAGUGUGGGGGAAUCCUGCAAGACUGGUACCCUGACACUCUUCUCUUGGACUUGUCCACACUGAGCCUCCAGUGAUUUGUCCAUGAGCUGCUGCAGCAAAGAGACCCCACAAUACAGUGGCUCAAACAAGACAGGAUUUUGCUUGUUGCUCAUGUGACAAUCCAGAGAUGAACAGGAACCCAGGGUCCUUUUCUUCUGUUGUGCUGUGGCCUCCGGGUUGUGGUCCUUCUCUGGUUGUGCCAUCAUGAUCAGGCUCCUGUCCACGGGGAGGAAGGAGAGGACAAGAGGUGUCCAUUGAGAGCAAAACAAAGUAUGGAAGCUGCGCCAUCUCUUCCGCUUUAUCCCACAGGUUGCUGCUUCCCUGCCCCCCAGGUCCAGGCAGAGGGAGGAGUAGAGACCUGUGGACUUUCUCUGGCAACAUCAUUUUGCACCCAGGCCAGGGUGUGUGAUUCUGCUUGACACCCCAUGGCAGGUGGGAAGGCACACUGGCUCGACCCGUCACGGCAGAAUGAGCUUCCUCACAGCCAAUUAUAAAUCCACGCAGAGCUCAGAGAAGGUGUGAGCCUUUCCCAAGGUUCCCCCAGGGCCCCUUUUCCAGUGUGCAAAAUAUGCCUCCCCAGGGACCUUUCUCUCCCCUCCCCUUCUCUCUCUGAAGUUUCCAGCCCCACCCUUUAGUUAAGUCAGCAAGUCUCUUUUGCUGGAUAUUAAAUUCUUUCAGUUAGAGGGCCAUCAAGAGCAGCAACCCACUUUCUUGUCUGCUCAGACUGCCACAUUUUACCACAGUUAAAUGCUACAGACUGGGUGGCUUACCAACAGACGUUUAUUUCUCACACUUGUGGAGGUUGGAUGUUCAAGAUCAAGGUGCCUGCCAAUUCAGUUCCCAGUGAGGACCUUCUCCCUAGCUUUCAAACAAACAGCUUCCCUCUGGUACACACACACACAGAGAUCUUUCUUCUUACAAGACCACCAGUACUAUUGGAUUAGAAGCCCACCUAUAUGACCUCAUUUGACUUCACCUCCUAAAAGCCCUAUCUGCAAACACACUAACAUCCCAAUAUAUAUUCCACUCUUUUAAAUAUAAAUCAGAACGUGAAUAACCCAGGGAAUUGAAUUGAAGAGAGCACCCUAUUCAGCCAUUUUGAAUUGGAAGGAGUGCUAUCUUCAGCCCCUGCACCCUCAUAGCCCCUCAGUCACUGUGUUUGUGAAGAGUGAUGAUGAGCCACUGCUGCCUCAUUAGGGAUUGUGUGUUAUCCCCACAUUUAUGUGCUGAAGUCCUAACCCAGUGCCUUGGAAUGUGACUAUUUGUAGAGAGAAAGGGUCAUUACAGAGGUAGCCAAGUUAAAAUGAGGCCCGAGGGCAGUAUGCAAUAUGACUGGUGUCAGCAGAGGAUGUCCAAGUCCCUGUCUUCCGCUCAGAAGGGCUUGCAGAUGUCCUGGGCAAUGAAAUACCUUGGGUGCUGGGUCAGGGAGGCUGUGCUCUCAGUUCUGGUCUUGACUCUCCAGGAUGAAUGCUUUCCACCAUUCCUGCAUGAUUUCCAGCAGUUGUUUCUCUCUCUCCUUCCUCCAGGCCCAACCUCACUUUCUCCUAAUGGAAAAGGGCAGAGCCCUUCUUUGCUACCACAUACCUUGUUGAAGAAAAACUGAUUUCCUCCAGGACACAAUAGAUGGUAUCUCCUGAAUCCAGGAUCAGGACAUUAGUGUUCCUGAUCUGCAAAGAUAUUUAUGCAAAGACACACAAAAGCUUAAGAAUUAAAUUAUAUUGGGUUAUUUACGUUAUGAUUUAUAUUAAAAAGAGUGGAAUAUAUAAAACCAGGACUGCCCCAAAUAACAGGAUAGUCUUUGAAGUCUGUCCUCCACAGACUUGGACAAUCUCUCUGUAUUGCUCCAGGGACAUCCUCUUUCUGGGAGUAGAAUCAACAAGUGUGUCACACAGAACUUUCCAGAUUCAGUAUUCUCAGCUCUGCUAAUUCCCUUAUUUCUAAAUUCUGUGACCUUCAUCUUCUGUACUCUGAAUCAUCUCUUUUUCUUUCUCUACAACUGUUUCAAAAUGGAAUUCCACAGUCUCUGACAACAAUUAGGGGGUGAUCAUGUUUGGAAAUGAUUUGGGAGAAUAAAUAUUUGUCCCACCUUAAUGAGGCAGCAGGAAGAGAUGCAUGGCCCAGGUGGGAACCCUCCUCUUUAUCUACUGUGAGGCCUUGAACACUUACUGGUCCUCUUUGAACCUCAGCUGCUCAUAUAGAGACCAUAGUAGUUUUGGUCUGUCAUAUAGAGACCACAGUAGUGUCUGCCCAUGGGGCUGAAAUGAUUAAAUGAGUUAAUUCUCAAGCAGAUAUUUAAUAAAGAUUACUUGGUGACCUAA